GACGAACGCUGGCGGCGUGCCUAAUACAUGCAAGUAGGACGCAGUUGCGAACGGGUGAGUAACGCGUAGGUAACUACCUAUUAGAGGGGGAUAACUAUUGGAAACGAUAGCUAAUACCGCAUACUAGUAGAUGGACCUGCGUUGUAUUAGCUAGUAGGUAGGGUAAAGGCCUACCUAGGCAAAGAUACAUAGCCAACCCGGGAGGGGGAUCGGCCACACUGGGACUGAGACACGGCCCAGACUCCCCCGGGGGGCAGCAGUAGGGAAUCUUCGGCAAUUGGGGGAAACCUGACCGAGCAACGCCGCGUGAGUGAAGAAGGUUUUCGGAUCGUAAAGCUCUGUUGUUAAGGAAGCGGUACUUAACCAGAAAGGGACGGCUAACUCCGUGCCAGCCGCCGCGGUAAUUC
rnacentral:rRNA from 1 species